CACUCCAGGAAGUUGAACAUUCACCAGAACUAGAGUCUGAGCAUUUAGUUGAUGAUGAGGAGGCAUCAAAUGAUCGUGGAUGUGGAUCUAUUUGAACCGAAAUUGGGCUUGAAUCAGAGCUUAAACGACACAAUCAAGCUUUGGAGCAUUAUGGGCCGUUCAUCAAGAACAAGAGAGAUCUGAACCAUCCGUUGAAGAUCUGGCCCAUCCAACCUAAUAAGGAGGAGAUCUCAUCCAUAGAUGAAGAUCCAGAGGUUUUGAAUUAAAUCGGAGUUCAUACAGCCAUUGAUCAAGCCGAAUUAAUCUGGGUCGUUCAUCGAAGAUUGGGAAGAUCUGAACCAUCUAGUGAAGAUCUGGUCGAUCCAGGGAGAUUAGAUCCAGACCCUAGAUGAAGAUCAGUACCUCCGGGUCGGAUUUUGGGUGGCUUUUCACCGUUGAUCAAGCGCCAAAUCGAUUUCAGCCGUCCGUUCAGAUCUGGAACAGAUUCAAAACAGAAGCUACAGUAGCUUCCAGGCUUCGUCGACUCCUCCACAGCGCAGCUUCGUUCCGCGGCAUCUUCUUCCAUAUUUCGGCCCCUUUCCUUUCUCCAAUCGUUCUCUCAAGCUUCAACCUCGGUGGAGAGCUUCUUGGCAGCAUCAUCCGGAUCAGCUGGAGCCAUCGGCAGGUGUUCUCUCCGGUGGAAUUCUCAUCUUGGCAAGCCUCUGUUCCCGCCAGAUUUGGAGGUGUUCCUCCAAAUCUGAGCUCCGAUUCCCAUCAGAAACGUUCGGCGGUGGUCCUCCAGAGUAACUGAGCUUCAUCCGACCACAAUCCAUCAUCCGCAUCUUCAUCCCAGAUCCAGAGACCAGAUUUUCAUAUUUCCAGCAUUUUCGAGCAGGUGAUUGGUUUUGAGGUGCUCACAGUGUGUCGGGGGUGGUCCGUCGGCACUGUUGAGCAUUCCUCGAGCUGAUACGUUGUAGAGAUUCUCCACUGAGGUCCAGAAUUGGGUGUUCUCGACUUUGACACUCUUGUGUGACGGCAAGAGUGUGAAACUUGUAGAGAAUGGUUGUGAGUUGGUUCGGUUAGGGUUAAUUUCAUUUUAUUCCUGUUUUGUAGCUUGAUACAAAUUUAUUUUUAUGUUUGUUAUGUUUUUAUCCAAGUAAUUUAGCAUUUCAUUACCUUGUUGAA